rnacentral:lncRNA from 1 species
GAAACUCAAUCGGCUGAAAAAGAAAACGAAUUUGAAGAAUCUCUUCAACAUCCCAAGAAUUCCCAAACCUAAUUUUCACUCUUCUCUUCAAUUUCUUCAACAAUCCUCACAAUAUCUCAACUCUAAUAUUUAAUUUCAAUUCAUUCUUGCGUUUUGUUUGAGAUUCAACACCAAUUCAAGGGCAAUUUUGACUGGGUUUUGCACAAUUGGGACGGGCUUGCGAUCUACAACCUUAUUUCUUCAAAAUUUCGUUUAAUCAGGUCUGAGUUUGUUCGUUUUUUGUCAUGGGUAUGUUCAAUUUGAGGUGGGCUCGUUGAUUUGUGGUGAUUGGUUGAAAUUUCAGAUUAGUUGGGGGGUGCUGUGCUAUUUUCAGCAUUGGUUGGCGUGUUUAUGCAACUUUCAGCAUUGGUUGGGGUGUUUCUGCAUCUUUC